rnacentral:rRNA from 1 species
GGACGAACGCUGGCGGCGUGCUUAACACAUGCAAGUGGAGCGACGAACCAGGGCUUGCCCUGGGGCAAAGCCGCGAACGGGUGAGUAACACGUGAGUAAUCUGCCCCGAUUACCGGGACAACCCGAGGAAACUCGGGCUAAUACCGGAUGUGGCGUACAGACAUAAGUCUGUCCGUUAAAGGUAGCUUCGGCUUCUGAAUCGGGAGGGGCUCGCGGCCCAUUAGCUUGUUGGUGGGGUAACGGCCUACCAAGGCGACGAUGGGUAGCUGGUCUGAGAGGACGAUCAGCCACACUGGGACUGAGACACGGCCCAGACUCCUACGGGAGGCAGCAGUGGGGAAUCUUGCGCAUGCGCGAAGUGUGACGCAGCNCGCCGCGUGAGGGAAGACGGCCUUCGGGUUGUACCUCUUUCAGGAGGGACGAAGGUUCACCGGUGAUAGCCGUGUGGAUUGACGGUACCUCCAGAAGAAGCUCCGGCUACUACGUGCC